GUCCACGCCGUAAACGAUGGGAACCUGACGUCGGUCUGCUCUGCGGAUCGGUGUCGUAGCUAACGCGCUAAGUUCCCCGCCUGGGGAGUACGGCCGCAAGGUUGAAACUCAAAGGAAUUGACGGGGGCCCGCACAAGCGGUGGAGUAUGUGGUUUAAUUCGAUGCAACGCGAAGAACCUUACCUGGGCUUGACAUGCUAGGAAUCCUGCAGAGAUGCGGGAGUGCCCGCAAGGGAACCUAGACACAGGUGCUGCAUGGCUGUCGU
rnacentral:rRNA from 1 species